rnacentral:rRNA from 1 species
CCUACGGGUGGCUGCAGUAGGGCAUCUUUCACAAUGGGCGAAAGCCUGAUGGAGCAACGCCGCGUGCAGUAUGAAGGCCUUCGGGUUGUACACUGCUUUUAUAAGCGAGAAAUAUGAUGGUAACUUAUGAAUAAGGAUCGGCUAACUAAGUGCCAGCAUCCGCGGUCAUACGUAGGCUCCGAGCAUUCACCGGCUUGACUGGGUGUAAAGAGUUGAGUAGGUGUCAUAAUAAGUAGCUAGUGAAAUUUGGUGGCUCAACCAUUCAGACUAUUAGCUAAAAUGUUAAGCUCGAGACCGUUAGGAGUAACUGGAAUUGCUAGUGUAGGAGUGAAAUCCGUAGAUAUUAGAAGGAACACCAAUAGCGUAGGCAUGUUACUGGGACGGUUCUGACACUAAGGCACGAAAGCGUAGGGAGCAAACGGGAUUAGAUACCCUGGUAGGC